UCUCAUAGUCUACCACUCAACAAACCCUCCCCUUUUCUUCUUGCGAAAAGUUGUUUUGGGGCUACGGCUACACAUUGACCGCUUCUCUUCUCCCUCCCGCCACAAGCAAUACCCAUUUCCAUUUCGAUCAUCUCACGCCAACACUAACAAACAUCCCGUCCAUUGCACUCCUUCACCUACACCACGGGUCAAGAGACUGGUAAAUUAAAUAAAAAGGGUCGCGACAACUUUCAAAAAGUGGUGUGGUGACGUAGUGCUUCAAAUUGCUCACUUGUCAAGCUCUCACAGGUAAUCUUUAAGAUUAAGGUUGUGUUUCGGUGACGCCUGUGAGUCGGUGAUUCCACGGAGUUAGGAAUGGAGGACGACGGUUCCAGCUCGAUCCGCCGCAUGUCAAGCCGAACGCGAAAAGUUGCGUCCAAAAUGGCCGCUGCACUUGCCAGCGCCGACAACCGCACUCAGGCGGCACUUGCGCGCUUGGAUGCUUUGGAGAAUGACAAUGCGGGUUUUGAAAUCGCAGAUGCCAAUAACGAUGAUGAUGAAGCUUCUCUCGACGAGGAGGAUCAAUAUUAUAUACAGAAAAAGCAGUCUAAAGGCACAAAAAGAAAGACCAGACAGGCAAAAGCACUUGAAGCUAGGAGGGCCCCGAGAACAUUCCUUGAGCUCUUGCAUGAGGCUAACUUAGAAUCAUUGCCACCUAACGUGCCCUCCUAUUGGAAAGCCACAGUUGGACCUCCAAGCACAACCUCCCGUCGCCACUUCUGUACUGUUUGUGGUUUUUCUGCUAAUUACACUUGUGUGAGAUGUGGCUCCUUUGUACAGAAUAGUACAUCUUCGCAUUGCAACAAGUGCACAAUUCUUCCACUGUAGGAUAUGAAAUCAGUUUCUGUUACUGAAAUAUUUUUUUUCUAUCAACUGGUGAGAAUGAUCUGGCGGUGGAGGUAUUAAUGACUGUGAAAGGCCGUGAAAGGCCGACUCCGUGUUCUACCAGAAGUGCCAUGCCCAAACCCGAAUUCAGAUGUGAGUCUAUGUGGCAACGGAUGAACCAAAUUCCUGAUUUGCAGUCGUGAAAGAAAAGCAUGGAAUAGGUUAAUAGGUGAUGCUGGUACAUACUGCAAAAGCAAAGUUUUACAACACUACAAUGUUACCUGGAUUGUCAGCCACAAAACGAAUAGCCACCCAUCCUCCAGGAGGCGUUCCAAUGGUGUUUUUGACAGGUGGGUCUACAAGGUUGAACUUGAGUGGAUCAGUUGCUGGGUUGAAGUUGCCAAAACCUGAACCAAUUACAAAGAAGUGAAAUCCAUGAACAUGCAUAGGGUGUUCCUCUGUGGUCACUAUGCUUGUGUUUUGCAGAACAAUUUGCAUCCUCGAGCCAUACUUCACCUUGUAGAGCUUAGUUCCCCGUGAAGGUGUCCAUAGCCCCCUUGGUACAUUCCCAGUAUAAUCAAAUUGUACAGGGGGAACAGGGGCAAAGUCUUUGGUGAAGACACUGGGUAUUCUUUCAUAGUACGCUUGCAUUAAGGAGGUGGUUCUUGGGAGUUCAAAUGAUACAUUGUUCAUACUGGCUGUGAAGUGGGUUCCAUUUGGUGCUUGACACAGGGGACUAUUAGGAUUUGUGCAAUUGAUUAACCCCAACCCCAACGUGAAAUAUAGAUUCACAUAAACUUUCGUAAAGACUUUAACCCGAGUAAGCCCCCUAAUCCUAGCAGUGUACGCAGUGGCAGUGUCAUUGAAGGCAGGCAAAACUGGUCUUGAUCUGCUUUGGUUACUGCGUCUAGUAGAUCUGUAUUCUAGGAUUGCAGUGGUGGUGCAGCAGAUUCGUAGGCGCGUGCUGCCAUGUAGUAGAGACCUUGGGGUUGAUCAGCGGUGACUAGAACAUUGAAUGUCUGACCAGGUCCUAUCAUGAGGACUGUGGUUCUGAAGGGCUUGGUAUAUGCUGCAUCUGUACCAACCACAAUCAUCUGUGGUUGGCAAUGGAGAAGAAAAGUUCAUGAUUGAGUGCACUGUUGAUAAUUCUCAACAUAAUUGUCUCCCUAGCUUCUACUGGAACAGUUCCUGCAUUGUGUGUUCGUACCAUCAAUGAAACUGGAACCUCUAUCAAAAUAGAAUUGUUUUUAAGGAAUGCAGGCACACACUGAGUAAUAAUUUUCACACCUUGGCUUGAGCAUCUGUAAAGAUCACCAAGUUGCCCAUUAGUGGUAUAUGCAACAGAUGGAUUUAGAGGUAAUCUUGCAAAGUCUGCCUGCCUUUGGAGAAGCACAAUAUCCGAAUCAAGCCAUUGCCCUGUGGCAUCAACACGAUAAAACUGUCAUGACACUAAUUAAGAAGCUCAUCACAUUUUAAAUGUUUUUCUCUAAGGUAUAGUUCGUUCACAGUGGAAGGAGAUUCAUUAUUCAUGUGAAUUGGGCCGAAGAUGAUUGUAGAGAUGUACCAAGAAGGAGGGGAAAUUCUUGCUUCGGCACAGAGGAGGGAUAGGCAGAACCCAAUCUGGGAUAGAUGAUGAAGGCUCCCUAACAGUGGCUCUCAGGAAGCCAGUAUGAGCAUGCCACCAUAAUGUCCCUUCCUGAUCCCUGAUUCUAAAUCGGUAUGUGUAACUUCUCCCUGGUUGAAUGGGACACUGAGUUACAUAACUCGGCCCAUUGGCCCACGGAUUUCGCAGCAUCCUUAACCCAUGCCUGAUGCACAUAAGCCCUUAUCACUUUGUGAGGAAGAUCAAAUUUAUGCAUCAUUAGCACAGUAAAUUGGUACAUGGACCAAGUAUGUAUCAGUAGCAUAUCGACUCAUGGACCAACUAUUUAUUGUUAGAUUAGUGUGGGGAUGUGGCUUUGGGUUUUGCACAGCCUCGUCACUAGCCUAGCUUGAACCUAUUUCACUCAAAUUAUGAUGGAAUGAUAAUUACUAAAGAGUUCUAACUUUAUUGAAGAAAAGUAGUGAAUAAUUCAUGAUAUAAUUGAAUCAGAACUUACAACAAAUUCAUGGAAAUGUAUCUCUUAGCCGAAGCAAGGGAAGCAAUGAGAGCAAACAGGGCUAGUACGAACCAAGAACAACAUGACUUACCAGGGAGGUGGAAAGUCUUCAUUGUUCUGGUUUUGUUUAAUGGUGUUUCUUGUGCUGAAGGGGAUUUGUUUUAAAUGCAGCUAUUUUGUAGACUUAUAUGUAGGGAAAUGCCUGGAAAGAGAAAUACUUCUGUUGAGUCGUUAUAUUUUAGUCAAGGUACUUAAUAUUUAGUAA